rnacentral:rRNA from 1 species
AUUGAACGCUGGCGGCAUGCCUUACACAUGCAAGUCGAACGGCAGCACGGGUGCUUGCACCUGGUGGCGAGUGGCGAACGGGUGAGUAAUACAUCGGAACAUGUCCUGUAGUGGGGGAUAGCCCGGCGAAAGCCGGAUUAAUACCGCAUACGAUCUACGGAUGAAAGCGGGGGACCUUCGGGCCUCGCGCUAUAGGGUUGGCCGAUAGCUGAUUAGCUAGUUGGUGGGGUAAAGGCCUACCAAGGCGACGAUCAGUAGCUGGUCUGGGAGGACGACCAGCCACACUGGGACUGAGACACGGCCCAGACUCCUACGGGAGGCAGCAGUGGGGAAAUUUGGACAAUGGGCGAAAGCCUGAUCCAGCAAUGCCGCGUGUGUGAAGAAGGCCUUCGGGUUGUAAAGCACUUUUGUCCGGAAAGAAAUCCUUGGCUCUAAUACAGUCGGGGGAUGACGGUACCGGAAGAAUAAGCACCGGCUAACUACGUG